AGUAACGCGUGAGGAAUCUGCCUCAAAGAGGGGGACAACAGUUGGAAACGACUGCUAAUACCGCAUAAGCCCACGGCUCGGCAUCGAGCAGAGGGAAAAGGAGCAAUCCGCUUUGAGAUGGCCUCGCGUCCGAUUAGCUAGUUGGUGAGGUAACGGCCCACCAAGGCGACGAUCGGUAGCCGGACUGAGAGGUUGAACGGCCACAUUGGGACUGAGACACGGCCCAG
rnacentral:rRNA from 1 species